rnacentral:rRNA from 1 species
CCUACGGGAGGCAGCAGUGAGGAAUAUUGGUCAAUGGGCGAGAGCCUGAACCAGCCAAGUAGCGUGCAGGAUGACGGCCCUAUGGGUUGUAAACUGCUUUUAUAAGGGAAUAAAGUGAGUCUCGUGAGACUUUUUGCAUGUACCUUUAUGAAUAAGGACCGGCUAAUUCCGUGCCAGCAG